UACGUAGGGGGCAAGCGUUGUCCGGAUUUAUUGGGCGUAAAGAGCUCGUAGGCGGUUUGGUAAGUCGGGUGUGAAAUCUCCAGGCUCAACCUGGAGGGGUCAUUCGAUACUGCCAUGACUAGAGGUCGGUAGGGGUGUGUGGAAUUCCUGGUGGAGCGGUGAAAUGCGCAGAUAUCAGGAGGAACACCCGUAGCGAAGGCGGCACACUGGGCCGAUACUGACGCUGAGGAGCGAAAGCGUGGGGAGCGAACAGG
rnacentral:rRNA from 1 species